ensembl:lncRNA
AGGUUGGGACCCAGCUCGCAGAAAGGCUGUGAUGGAUGGUACUGCUUCCACGUGUGUGGGCCCCAACUGGGGGCUCCCACUGGCAUUUAACACAGGCCCAGGCAGGGGAGUCGCGGUGAAUCCCUGUUCCUGAUGCCUCUUGGAAGCAUGGAGCUCGCUCUGCUGAGUGACUUCGGAAGGUCAUAGGACUUCUCUCCACUUGUGUUCCUACUGUAAAAUUAAAGAUGGAAUGGGAGUGUGAGAGAGAAUGGUGUGUCAAGGACGACUCCAAGGUUUUUGACUGAGCAAACUGGGAGAGUGGCGUUGGGGAAGACCAGGGCUCAGCACCAGACAGUGAGUUUGAGAUGUCCGCGACAUAGCCACGUCGAGACGUUUCAUGAGAGUUGCAGAGAUGCUUCACCGUGUCAUGAAGUGGAUGAAAUGAGAUGUGUUUGGCAAUAAGCUUGGAGUUUUUGUCACCGUUGUCAGCACCACCUCGUAAUCAACACUGCUACCACUAAUUAUUCAAUCCUUCCUAUGUGCCAGAUAUGUUAUCUUAUGUAAUUCUCAAAAUAGUCUUAAUGACACAGCUGUCACUUCUAUUUUGUAAAUGAGAAAACAGGCCUCUAGAGAUCUCACUAAUGUUACUUAUUAUAAUUAAUUCAUCAAAUAUUAAUAGAGCACUUAUUAUGUGUCAAAGGGUAUUCUGAGGUUCUACAAAUAUUAUCACAUGUAAUUCUCAAGACAAUCUUAAUAAAGUAAGGUAUCAUUGUCCUUAUUUCACAGAUGAGAAAAAUGAGAAUCUCAGAGAGUUUAGUAACAAUUAAUUAGUCGAGUAAUUAGCUCAAAAUUUGUGCCCAUUGUCUGUGCAAGAUGCUGGGGAUACAGUGGUGGGAAAGUCAGACCAUGCCAUUGGCUAUCUGGAAUUCAGAGUCUAGUAGAGGAACCUGCAGUCUGGUGGUGUGUACAAGCAGCCUGUUGCAUCCAGCGUACACAGUAAAAAAUGGCGGAGUUGCGUGAAUGAACUCAGAUCCAGGGUGAUUCACUGUGUCCUGUUGCCUCCCUAAGACAUUGGUGAGAGUAACCCUGCCUGGGCCCUGUGCUUUAGGGGGGCUUGCGUUUCACAGAUGCAGAAAGUAAGUUUAUUUGGGUAGCACACGAUGCACUCUGUCUCUUGGAGCUCAGUAUCAGCAUACAGCGACUUCUAUCCUUAAACAUCCACUCUCGUGACAAACACCAUUCAGGCCCCAGGGAAACAGUUCUUCACAAUUCUGACCUCACGUCCUCAACAUAACAGACGACUGUGUUGGAAGAUAACAAAGGUUUGCAGGCUGGGCCACUGCAGACUUUGAAGAUGAACCUGCUUUGGGAGACAAGGAGGAUGUGAGCUGCAGAGGUACUGAGGUCGAGGAAAAGAUAAGCUAAUUAAGUUGACAAAGUUUUCCUUGAAGACAGACUCAUUAAAUUGUCAAAUUCCCUCUCUCAGAACACGUGAACACAGGAGAGUCUUGCAAAAUGAAGUGACAUUUUCCACUAGUGCCGACAUCCAUUUACUUUCUUCUUUUCAUGUUCCAAUUAGAAGUACUCGCCAAGCAGGCCAGUGUGCACAAACAUCGCACGUGAGGGCUCAGGGACACUUUACAAUAUUGUAUGUGUGCAGGUCUAGAAAACACUGCAAAACGCCAGAUCUAUUCUUUACAUUGGCAUUUAGGUAGACAGUGAAUGCCAGAAUCAUAAAUAAUUUUCUUUUUAGAUAACGUAAAAGAUUUCAUUAAAUUUUCAAAAAAGAUUUAUUCACCUACAUUUGAUUUUAAAAGUUGAUAUUCAUUAAUUAUGAAUUUACACUGUCAAUUUUAUAGAUAAUUUUGCCUAAUUUAAGGAAAAAUAACUUUUUGGAAAAUUUAGGAACAGUAAUUUUAAUUUUUAUUAAUAAUUUUGAAGUAAAUAAAUUCAAAUUUUGUCCAUAUUGAAUGCAAUUCUAUUUUUUUUAAUUCUUCCUAUCAUUACUGACAAUAGAACACAAAUUAUGUAUAAACUUACAAUGAUUUUAAUGAAGUGAAGUGAAGACCGAUACAUUUUAUGGAAUAAACAUAAUGAUUUAUUAAUUCAUUUUUUUUUUAUUAUUCCUCAUCCAAACAUUACCCACUCAUUGGUAGGAUACCGAGGAAGGCAUGAUGAUUGCGUUC